CGUGAGAUGUUGGGUUAAGUCCCGCAACGAGCGCAACCCUUGUCCUUAGUUGCCAGCACGUAAUGGUGGGAACUCUAAGGAGACCGCCGGUGACAAACCGGAGGAAGGUGGGGAUGACGUCAAGUCAUCAUGGCCCUUACGGCCAGGGCUACACACGUACUACAAUGGUGGGGACAGAGGGCUGCAAGCCGGCGACGGUGAGCCAAUCCCAGAAACCCUAUCUCAGUCCGGAUUGGAGUCUGCAACUCGACUCCA
rnacentral:rRNA from 1 species